GACGAACGCUGGCGGCGUGCUUAACACAUGCAAGUCGAACGAUGAACCCGGAGCUUGCUCCGGCGGAUUAGUGGCGAACGGGUGAGUAACACGUGAGUAACCUGCCCUUGACUCUGGGAUAACUGCUAGAAAUGGUAGCUAAUACCGGAUACGACCCUCGGUGGCAUCACCAGGGGGUGGAAAGAAUUUCGGUCAAGGAUGGACUCGCGGACUAGCAGCUAGUUGGUGAGGUAACGGCUCACCAAGGCUCCGACGGGUAGCCGGCCUGAGAGGGUUGCCGGCCACACUUGGACUGAUACACGGCCCAGACUCCGACGGGAGGCAGCAGUGGGGAAUAUUGCACAAUGGGCGCAAGCCUGAUGCAGCAACGCCGCGUGAGGGAUGACGGCCUUCGGGUUGUAAACCUCUUUUAGUAGGGAAGAAGCGAAAGUGACGGUACCUGCAGAAAAAGCACCGGCUAACUACGUGCCAGCAGCCGCCGUAA
rnacentral:rRNA from 1 species